ACCCCAUACAGAAACCGCCUUUUUCCAGACAAUGUGCAAGCAUUGCUUUGCACUCGUAACUGGUUGCGUGGUUAUCCAGAACUUGAAGGUGAUAUUGAAGAUAAUUUCGAUGAGGAAGCUACAAAUGUUGCAAGUUCUUCAGGAGUAUGAGAGAGAUUCAAGAUUCAAGAAGCUACAAAUAUUGCAAACUACUAUUUAUUUUAAUCUGAAUAAAAAUACUUUUGCUACUUCUUUACAAAUGUUGCAAGCUACAAUUUGUUUCAAUCUGAAUCAAAUAUAAAUUUAUUAUAA